UACAGAGGUCCCGAGCGUUGUUCGGAUUCAUUGGGCGUAAAGGGCGCGUAGGUGGCGGGACAAGCGUGCGGUGAAAGCUCGGGGCUCAACCCCGCGUCGGCCGUGCGAACUGUUUUGCUUGAGCACUGUAGAGGCAGGCGGAAUUCCGGGUGUAGCGGUGGAAUGCGUAGAGAUCCGGAAGAACACCGGUGGCGAAGGCGGCCUGCUGGGCAGUAGCUGACACUGAGGAGCGACAGCGUGGGGAGCAAACAGG
rnacentral:rRNA from 1 species